UACGUAGGUCGCAAGCGUUGUCCGGAUUACUGGGCGUAAAGAGCGCGCAGGCGGCUGGCCAAGUCCGAUGUGAAAUCUCCCGGCUUAACCGGGAAACUGCAUCGGAAACUGGUCGGCUUGAAGGUGGGAGAGGGUAGCGGAAUUCCCGGUGUAGUGGUGAAAUGCGUAGAUAUCGGGAGGAACACCAGUGGCGAAGGCGACUUCCUGGCCUGUUCUUGACGCUGAGGCGCGACAGCGUGGGGAGCAAACAGG
rnacentral:rRNA from 1 species